rnacentral:rRNA from 1 species
GAUGAACGCUAGCGGCAGGCUUAAUACAUGCAAGUCGUGGGGCAGCAUGAGUAGCAAUACUUGAUGGCGACCGGCAAACGGGUGAGGAACACGUACACAACCUUCCUUCAAGCGGGGAAUAGCCCAGAGAAAUUUGGAUUAAUACCCCAUAAUAUAUUUGAUAAGGCAUCUUAUUAAUAUUAAAGCUUCGGCACUUGAUGAUGGGUGUGCGGCUGAUUAGAUAGUUGGCGGGUAACGGCCACCAAGUCUACGAUCAGUAGCUGAUGUGAGAGCAUGAUCAGCCACACGGGCACUGAGACACGGGCCCGACUCCUACGGGAGGCAGCAGUAAGGAAUAUUGGACAAUGGACGAAAGUCUGAUCCAGCCAUGCCGCGUGAAGGAUUAAGGUCCUCUGGAUUGUAAACUUCUUUAUAUGGGACAAAAAGGGCAUUCUUGUUCACUUGACGGUACCAUAUGAAUAAGCACCGGCUAACUCCGUGCCAGC